CCGGCACGGGUGAGUAACACGUAUCCAACCUGCCGUCUACUCUUGGCCAGCCUUCUGAAGGAAGAUUAAUCCAGGAUGGCAUCAUGAGUUCACAUGUCCGCAUGAUUAAAGGUAUUUUCCGGUAGACGAUGGGGAUGCGUUCCAUUAGAUAGUAGGCGGGGUAACGGCCCACCUAGCAACGAUGGAUAGGGGUUCUGAGAGGAAGGUCCCCCACAUUGGAACUGAGACACGGUCCAA
rnacentral:rRNA from 1 species